rnacentral:ncRNA from 1 species
CGGCCUGAGGUCGGACGAGGCUACCCGCUGAAUUUAAGCAUAUUACUAAGCGGAGGAAAAGAAACUAACGAGGAUUCCCUCAGUAACGGCGAGUGAAGCGGGACGAGCCCAGCGCCGAAUCCGGCCGCUUAUGGAGCGGACGGAAUUGUGGCGUAUG